UCUUGGUCAUUUAGAGGAAGUAAAAGUCGUAACAAGGUUUCCGUAGGUGAACCUGCGGAAGGAUCAUUAACGUAUCUCCUUUCGGGGUGUGGGUGGCCUCGCUCCGGCUCCGGCCGUGACGCGGGCCCUCGCCCCCGGAAAAACCACAAACCCACUGUGCACCUUUUCGCGGUGGAGGGCGUGGCGCGAGCCCGUCCAAAGCCGCGGUCUCACAGACUCUGGUAUCUUUGAAUGUUCAGCGGAACGAUUCCGCCCACAAACGUGACAACUUUCAACAACGGAUCUCUUGGCUCUCGCAUCGAUGAAGAACGCAGCGAAAUGCGAUAAGUAAUGUGAAUUGCAGAAUUCAGUGAAUCAUCGAAUCUUUGAACGCACCUUGCGCUCCUUGGUAUUCCGAGGAGCAUGCCUGUUUGAGUGUCUCAAAGUCAUCAACCCCUGCCGUUUCUGCGGGAGGAGGUUGGAGCUGGGGCGUGCUGCCGUCGGGCGGCUCCCCCGAAAUGCAUCGGUUGGGCCUGCGGGUCGAACUCGACUGGGCGUUGUACCAUCCCCGCUCGACCGAGAAGUUCCCCGAACUGCGCCGCGACCACGACCUGCCUGCGGAGUGGCGGUCAACAAACGCUUUGAAAUCUGACCUCAAAUCAGGUAGGACUACCCGCUGAACUUAAGCAUAUCAAUAAGC
rnacentral:rRNA from 1 species